CCUACGGGAGGCUGCAGUGGGGAAUAUUGGACAAUGGGGGGAACCCUGAUCCAGCCAUGCCGCGUGUGUGAAGAAGGCCCUCGGGUUGUAAAGCACUUUCAGUGAGGAAGAACGCCUGGUGGUUAAUACCCAUCAGGAAAGACAUCACUCACAGAAGAAGCACCGGCUAACUCCGUGCCAGCAGCCGCGGUAAUACGGAGGGUGCGAGCGUUAAUCGGAAUUACUGGGCGUAAAGCGCGCGUAGGUGGCUUGAUAAGCCGGUUGUGAAAGCCCCGGGCUCAACCUGGGAACGGCAUCCGGAACUGUCAAGCUAGAGUGCAGGAGAGGAAGGUAGAAUUCCCGGUGUAGCGGUGAAAUGCGUAGAGAUCGGAAGGAAUACCAGUGGCGAAGGCGGCCUUCUGGACUGACACUGACACUGAGGUGCGAAAGCGUGGGUAGCAAACAGGAUUAGAUACCCCAGUAGUC
rnacentral:rRNA from 1 species